UACGUAGGAGGCAAGCGUUGUCCGGAAUCACUGGGCGUAAAGCGCGUGUAGGCGGCCAGAUAAGUCUGCUGUGAAAGCUCUCGGCUUAACCGGGAGAGGUCGGUGGAAACUGUCUAGCUUGAGGACGGUAGAGGGGGGUGGAAUUCCCGGUGUAGUGGUGAAAUGCGUAGAGAUCGGGAGGAACACCAGCGGCGCAGGCGGCCCCCUGGGCCGGUCCUGACGCUGAGACGCGAAAGCGUGGGGAGCAAACAGG
rnacentral:rRNA from 1 species